rnacentral:rRNA from 1 species
CCUACGGGGGGCAGCAGUGAGGAAUAUUGGUCAAUGGACGCAAGUCUGAACCAGCCAUGCCGCGUGAAGGAUGAAGGCGUUUGCGUUGUAAACUUCUUUUAUCUGGGAAGCGGUACCAGAGGAAUAAGCACCGGCUAACUCCGUGCCAGCAGCCGCGGUAAUACGGAGGGUGCAAGCGUUAUCCGGAUUCACUGGGUUUAAAGGGUGUGUAGGCGGGUGUUUAAGUCAGUGGUGAAAUCUCCAGGCUCAACCUGGAAACUGCCAUUGAUACUAUUCAUCUUGAAUACUGUUGAGGUAGGCGGAAUAUAUCAUGUAGCGGUGAAAUGCAUAGAUAUGAUAUAGAACACCGAUUGCGAAGGCAGCUUACUAAACGUAUUGACGCUGAGGCACGAAAGCGUGGGGAUCAAACAGGAUUAGAUACCCUUGUAGUC